rnacentral:rRNA from 1 species
GACGAACGCUGGCGGCGUGCUUAACACAUGCAAGUCGAACGGAAAGGCCCUGCUUUUGUGGGGUGCUCGAGUGGCGAACGGGUGAGUAACACGUGAGUAACCUGCCCUUGACUUUGGGAUAACUUCAGGAAACUGGGGCUAAUACCGGAUAGGAGCUCCUGCUGCAUGGUGGGGGUUGGAAAGUUUCGUCGGUUGGGGAUGGACUCGCGGCUUAUCAGCUUGUUGGUGGGGUAGUGGCUUACCAAGGCUUUGACGGGUAGCCGGCCUGAGAGGGUGACCGGCCACAUUGGGACUGAGAUACGGCCCAGACUCCUACGGGAGGCAACAGUGGGGAAUAUUGCACAAUGGGCGGAAGCCUGAUGCAGCAACGCCGCGUGCGGGAUGACGGCCUUCGGGUUGUAAACCGCUUUCGCCUGUGACGAAGCGUGAGUGACGGUAAUGGGUAAAGAAGCACCGGCUAACUACGUG